GACGUAGGGGGCGAGCGUUGUCCGGAUUUACUGGGCGUAAAGCGCGUGCAGGCGGUUUGUUAAGUCCCGUGUGAAAUCCUCCGGCUCAACCGGAGAACGCCGCGGGAGACUGGCAGGCUUGAGGACGGUAGAGGGUGAUGGAAUUCCCGGUGUAGCGGUGAAAUGCGUAGAUAUCGGGAGGAACGCCAGUGGCGAAGGCGGUCACCUGGGCCGUCCCUGACGCUGAGACGCGAAAGCUGGGGGAGCAAACGGG
rnacentral:rRNA from 1 species